AAUAAAGUGCCUGAAAUAAAGGAUUAUUCUGAUAGGAUAAAAAAUGUAAUUUAAAUUACCUUUAUUA
rnacentral:tRNA from 1 species